CAGGCCGAUUGGGCGAUCGCGUUUUUGCACAGGUUGCAGAGACGAGGAAAGUCCGCACUCCAGAGAGCACGAUGUCGGAUAACGUCCGGGGUGGGGAAUUCCCCUAAGACGGGAAGAAACCUACCGGAUCGGGCCACAGAAACAAACCGCCUCAAUGAGGUAAGGGUGAAAAGGUGGUGUAAGAGACUACCGGCGCGGGUGGUAACAUCCGCGGCCAGGCAACCCCUAUCGGGAGCAAGGCCAAGCAGGGAUGAUGUGGCUGCUCGCCACAAUUGAAUCUCGGGUAGGUCGCAUGAGAUGCGCGGUAACGUGCAUCCUAGAUAGAUGAUCGCCUAAAUAGAUGGUUGGGAGGAAGCCUUAGGGUGUAAACCGGCUUAUCCAUUGGACAGAAUGCGGCUUAUAGAUCGGUCUGGGGU
rnacentral:RNase_P_RNA from 1 species